rnacentral:misc_RNA from 1 species
UCCGAGUUGACCCCGGCAGUCUCCUAUGAGUCCCCGGCUUGAACCGCUGGCAACAUAGAACGAGGGUUGCGCUCGUUGCGGGACUUAACCCAACAUCUCACGACACGAGCUGACGACAACCAUGCACCACCUGUGAACCGGCCCCAAAGGGGAAACCACAUCUCUGCAGCAGUCCGGUCCAUGUCAAGCCUUGGUAAGGUUCUUCGCGUCGCAUCGAAUUAAUUCGCAUGCUCCGCCGCUUGUGCGGACCCCCGCCAAUUCCUUUGAGUUUCAAUCUUGCGAUCGUACUUCCCAGGUGGGAUACUUAAUGCUUUCGCUCAGACACACACAGUGUAUCGCGUAUGUCGAGUAUCCAUAGUUUAGGGCGUGGACUAC